GCAGUUCUGGAUUUCAAUUGUCUCCAUUCCAUACCCAUCUCACAUAUGUACAGAUUUGGCAUUGGAAUUCUCACCUUUGCUCCUGAUUCUUUGCUCCUGUGAUGUCCCUUGGCUGGGAUGGCCAGCAGUGCCCCUCUCUGCCUUGUUUUGAGGGGGUGUCCUGUGUGAGUCACUGCUGUUUCACUCAAGUUCCUGAGACAACUCAGGGAGGGCUUCUGUCAAACAGACAAGCUUUGCCUGAAGAAGCUUUGCCCUGUUUCCCUGGCACUUUCCUACCUUACUAAGGUCUUGCUUCUUCCUUCUAAAGUCAGUGUCUAAGAACAUCAUUUUGACUGAAGCAUAACAGCAUUUCCAUAUGGCUCAACCCAUAUGCUAACUGGUAGAAUUCCUAAAGAGAGGGAGGAUGAGUCUUAACCUGCUUCCCUCCCAGUUUCCCCACUGCACUUCACAUUCUGAAGGUUUCAGACAGCACAAGUUCUGGAGGAAAGUGGACCAAGCAAGAGGUUGUCAGAAUUGCUGCCAUGAGCCAGGCAGUGGCUGUGGAGGGUUUGUGCACUGUUCAGGGUGCCCAGGCACUGUAAGUCCUCUUCCUGCACUGGGAUCUGUGAUUCCAAGAGUCUGCUUUCUGCUCUGUGGCAUCCAGAA
rnacentral:lncRNA from 1 species